AACAUUUAUAUUGGAUUUUUUAUUGGACACAUAAUUAAAAUUUAAAUAUUUGUUUCUUAUUAUAAUCAAAACAUUUUAUUUAGUUUUUAAGAUAAACAUUACGCAUAAGGUGAUAUCGCAUGGGUCAGUCACAAACACGCGCCUGUUUGAGGAAACAGUUAUUUAAUAUUUUGUUAUACAUAAAUUAACUGUAUAGAGCCUUUGUACAUCACAAUUUUUUUCGACAUUCCACUUUUUGACUUAUAUUUCAAUAAAGCGAUAUGGUAACACACGCACGCACGAACACACAAACAUACAUAACUACACAUGCACAUAAAAGUGAACACGUUCCUACAGUAUUAACACUCGCACAUGUGAUCACUUAUGAAAUAUUUUCAAUGUGCUCUUUAUCAGUUUAUGAUGAAGUUAUAUUAUGAUUUUUUCAGGACAGUGUACAGCGUGUUUAAAUCUUCCAGAAAUGCAGCUGUGCCCUCUUAACAGCAAUUAUAGAUGAAGCAAAGUAUGGUAGCAAGUAAUAUAGAUAUACACACGAGUAUACACACAUGCCGAAGAAGAAUGUAAUAUCUGGAGAAAACAUUUCCUACGUCACGAAAUAGACACCGUCACACUGGCCUAUAGAUGAUUGAUAUAUUUAAGUGCUCUUAAGAACAGUGUUUGAAUGACGAAUUUCUGAAAAUACGGAUUUUUAAUUUUAAUGCUUAUUAUUAAAACUUUCUGUAAUUAUCCAUUUGUGCCAUGGACUCAUUUCCCUAAAAUAACAUGUGAAUGUUAACACGAGCAAAUGAUAUGAAUAUCUUUAAAAUGUUUUAUGGGUGUAAUAUAAGUGGCUCAUAUGAAUCAUUGUUAAGAUAAAUCGAAAAGAACUUCAAUUUAGCAUAGUUUGUUCUAGAUUUAAACAACAUGCAAUUCAUAAAGGUUACGGCUUGAAAAUAUCGAAAAAUGUACAUGUAUAAUUCGAUCUCUAAAGAAAAUAUCGCGGUGCGGAUGUUCUACACCGUGAUACGUAUUUCAUGACUCUGUAUUGCAACAUACUGGUAUAUCGCCGUUCCGUUGCAACGCUACAUUAAUGUGUCCCUCUGGAAUAAGUAUGACUAUUGUAGCGAAGACAUGUUUAUUUGGUUAUAUAUAUGUAUACAUAUUGAAUAUAUGUUUAUGAAAUAAUAAAUAUUUAAUAGUGACUCGA